rnacentral:rRNA from 1 species
UACGGAGGGUGCGAGCGUUGUUCGGAUUCAUUGGGCGUAAAGGGUGUGUAGGUGGCGCCGUAAGUCGGGUGUGAAAUUUCGGAGCUUAACUCCGAAACUGCAUUCGAUACUGCGGUGCUUGAGGACUGGAGAGGAGACUGGAAUUCAUGGUGUAGCAGUGAAAUGCGUAGAGAUCAUGAGGAAGACCAGUGGCGGAAGGCGGGUCUCUGGACAGUUCCUGACGCUGAGGCACGAAGGUCAGGGGAGCAAACGGG